ACUGCGCAUGUUCCCCGCGCGCGGCGCCUGCGCGGCCGCGGGCAGCGAGGCAGGAGGGCCGCCCGCGCCUCCCUCCCCUCAGGGAGAGGGGCCUGCGGAGGUGGGCGCUGCCUCGGCCCCGCCCCCGGGAGAAAGUGGUUCUAGUCCGCUGCCCUCUCGCCCUCACGCCCAUCGCCAGUCCUCUGAGGAACCGAACCUCCCAUCGCCCUACUCUUUAGCUAGCUAGUCGCUCACACCGUAACUUCGAACAGUUUGUGUGAUAGUUACUCCGGUUCCAGUUCCCUCUGUAAGGGAUCUGUAGGAAUGAGAGGGAUCUCUGCGGCAGGGCUUUGCCUGCUGCUCCCGCCCCAGCUCGGCUCCCUGAGCAGAGCGGUUCCUUACAGCCGCCGUGCAGCAAAUGCAGAAAGCUCGGUCCCCUGCGAGAGUAUUGCACCCCUAUGACCUCACUGUGCUGUUACACCCCCAUCAGAAUGUUUCUUGAUUGUCUCCAUGGCCACAGAGGAUGUGGUCAGUGACAGGCAACAUCCUGCAAAGGCACAUCUGCCCAGCUUAGAAAUAUCAAACACUGCAUAAGUUUUGCUCCGCUGUACGAUGAGGAACUCAAUGACAUCUGCCGUCACUGUUUGGGGCCAGUACCCACAGGUGCAAGAUACUCCCAACUGGAAACUGGUGGACAAGGGAGAGAGAAGAAUUGUAAACAAUCUAGCAAGACUGUGCUAAUGAAUGGCUGCCCUUGACUGACUUCAUCAACAGUUAGAAUAAAUUAAAACAGGAGCGUGAGCUCUCACCUUCAAUUUGAA